CACACCGCCCGUCGCUBCUACCGAUUGAACGGUCCGGUGAAAUUCUCGGACGAGGGUGUGUAAGCGUCGGGGCAACUCGGCGCUGACAUCUUCGGAAGAUGAUUAAACCUUAUCGUUUAGAGGAAGGAGAAGUCGUAACAAGGUUUCCGUAGGUGAACCUGCGGAAGGAUCAUUA
rnacentral:rRNA from 1 species